GAUGAACGCUGGCGGCGUGCUUAACACAUGCAAGUCGAACGAAGCACUCUAUUUGAUUUUCUUCGGAAAUGAAGAUUUUGUGACUGAGUGGCGGACGGGUGAGUAACGCGUGGGUAACCUGCCUCAUACAGGGGGAUAACAGUUGGAAACGACUGCUAAUACCGCAUAAGCGCACAGGAUCACAUGAUCUGGUGUGAAAAACUCCGGUGGUAUGAGAUGGACCCGCGUCUGAUUAGCCAGUUGGCAGGGUAACGGCCUACCAAAGCGACGAUCAGUAGCCGACCUGAGAGGGUGACCGGCCACAUUGGGACUGAGACACGGCCCAAACUCCUACGGGAGGCAGCAGUGGGGAAUAUUGCACAAUGGGGGAAACCCUGAUGCAGCGACGCCGCGUGAGCGAAGAAGUAUUUCGGUAUGUAAAGCUCUAUCAGCAGGGAAGAAGAAUGACG
rnacentral:rRNA from 1 species